GGAUAUCCUGUGGGGACCCCGAUAACCAGGCAGAUGAGAUUAAGGCACUAUGUAAAGUGUAUCACUGGUCCAUACAAUGUUCUUCUCUGUCUUGAGUGAUUCUUUUAAAUGGCCAUCCUUUCUUUAGGAUUGAUAUGUAUGUAGAGGGCUUAAGAGACCUGAGCGACAUGAUAAUGUACUUUCCACUCUCUCUGCCAGAAGAGAAGGAGAUGAACCUUGAAUACAUCCUCCACCGAGCUACAACAAGAUUCUUCCCCGUUUAUGAGAAGGCCCUGAGAGACCACGGGCAAGACUUUCUUGUGGGCAAUCGGCUGAGCUUGGCUGAUGUCCAGCUCCUUGAAGUCAUCUUAAUGGCUGAAGAAUGCAAAGCCAGUGUUCUCUCGGGUUUCCCUCUGCUACAGGACUUCAAGGUGAGAACCAGCCAAAUUCCUACAAUUAACAGCUUCCUCCAACCUGGAAGCCAGAGGAAGCCUCCUUUGGAGGAGCGAUCCAUUGGGACUGCAAAGGACAUAUUCAAAUUUGAAUGAGGACUGUUUCUUAAAAACAUGAGCAAUAUAGUAGCUGAGUAUUAACAGCUACAGAGGCUGGAGUUACUCAGUAAGUAUACUGAGUAACUUGACACUGCAUUCAUAAAAAGACACUCACUAAGUAUAUGGCCAGAGAAAUAUCCUGAAGUUAGUAAUAAAUGUUAGGAAUCUUAGUAUGUUAGCAAUGUUAGAAUGUUAGUAAUGGAAAUAUUAAAUGUGUAAGAGAAAAACUACUAGAAGCUUAUCAAUAAACUACAAGAACCAACUCUUGUUUGAAGUAAGACAGGCUACCAAGACAGAAUUCAGAAAAUCCAAGGAGCCCUCGGCCUUCUGUAUGAUCCUAGAAUAAACUUGUAUGUAGCAAGUGAAAGUCAA
rnacentral:lncRNA from 1 species